UUCAUCUGGGUCUAUUGCCAGCGCUGGUCGUUUCACUCCCGUUUAAGAAGUUUCUUCCUUCUCCUCACAAGGAUGGAUGGUGGUGAUUACUGUGGUCCUUCAUCUGUUGGAUCAACUGUGCUUUGCCACCCUUCCGGUGAUUGCCAGACCUGUUGUGCCCCUUGCUGCUGCCAGUCUAAAUGCUCUACCAAGUCUUGCUGUAUCCCCUGAUGUGUGCCAAGACCAAAUGUUGCUGAAGAAAACUAGAAGAUCAUGUUGAUCUACAAAGCAGAGGGUCAGCUCCCUCACUUCCUCCAACUUCAUGGUUGCUUCCUUUAUUUGAUUUACAACUUGGAACCAAUACGAUAUAGUUGUAUUCCUAAUGAGUCCAUCUAGGUGAUAAGUCUUAUCUUCUAUCUUCUAAAAACCUGGUCAACAUUGUUGCCAUUCUGCUCUGCCUCAUCUCUGCUUCGCGAUGCCAGACUAUCAUAAGCCCGCAGGGGGAAGGGAGGGCGAGCUAACACAGAGAGGGAGAAAAGCCAGAAAUCAAAACUACACCGAAUGCCUGGCAGAGACAUCAGCCGGCUGACCCCAAGGCCACAAGCAUGGGAAUGGAGUGUGGAGCUUCAUCGACCCCGACAAGAAACAGGACUGUUACCAAAACAAUUUGUUUGAAUCCCAUUGGACACUAAACAGAUAAUGAGGGGAGGGGAUCUGAAAAGGGAAAAGUAAAUGGGCAGAUUUUGCACGGAUCUGGCUACACCUGGCUUGUCUUUAGUAAAGGUGUUCCUUUCAUUAAUAAUGCAGUUGGAGGCUCUUCUCUUCUAAAUGAGCAAGUUGGGACAGGCCCGACAGGGUGCGAUAGAUGAUGUUUCCAUGUUAAUUCAAGGUUUGAGAUUUUCCCAGAUGUUCUAUCCAUCCAAUAAAACUCUGGAGCCAUGAAAGGCAAUAUUCA